AUUGAACGCUGGCGGCAUGCUUUACACAUGCAAGUCGAACGGCAGCGCGGGCUUCGGCCUGGCGGCGAGUGGCGAACGGGUGAGUAAUGCAUCGGAACGUGCCCAGUAGUGGGGGAUAGCCCGGCGAAAGCCGGAUUAAUACCGCAUACGACCUGAGGGUGAAAGCGGGGGACCGAAAGGCCUCGCGCUAUUGGAGCGGCCGAUGCCGGAUUGGCUAGUUGGUGGGGUAAAGGCUUACCAAGGCGACGAUCCGUAGCUGGUCUGAGAGGACGACCGGCCACACUGGGACUGAGACACGGCCCAGGCUCCUGCGGGAGGCAGCAGUGGGGAAUUUUGGGCAAUGGGGGCAACCCUGAUCCAGCCGUGCCGCGUGCGGGGAGAAGGCCUUCGGGUUGUAAAGCGCUUUUGUUCGGGAAGAAAUCCUCUGGGCUAAUACCCCGGGGGGAUGACGGUACCGGAAGAAUAAGCACCGGCUAACUACGUG
rnacentral:rRNA from 1 species